UGUGCUGCCUGCUAUCUACAGUGGGGUGUUGCUCUCGGACCUUUUGCUGGCGUCUCUGUUGCUGUCUCUGGGCUGGGCAACUACAAGGCUUACAGGCCUGUGUGACGCAGCUCAACAGUUGGGUCUGAGUCCCCAAAAUGUGAAGGACCACCUGCAUUAGAAGCACUUGUUUUAGGGUCCCAGGUGUCUACAUUUCAAACAAGAGACCCAGAGAACACGGAGGACCUACCGAGGACUGCAGAGUAAAGACUGCACGGGUCCCAGAGCGAUAAAGGGCAAUGCUGCGUUAUGGUAAGCCGAGGGAGGAGCUAUGAGGCUAAGGGCUUGGUCUGGGGGAGCGGAACUGUUGAUAGAGGUUGUUUACUAAAGGGCGCCCAGGUCAAACAUGCAGGGAACACAUCAGGUGAAACAGGUAAAUGGGUCUCUUUACUGUAUUCUUCCAUAAGCUAAGGUGCCCUGGGAAUCUACAAGAAGACCACAGCAUAGAGUGUUUCUCAAAUAUUUGACCCUAGAAACCUUUUUUCAAAAAACCUACAUUAGAAAAAAAAAAACUGCUCUAAGCCUAGGUAUCCCUCUGCACCUGGGCUUGGGAAGAAAGCUGUGGGCUAAAUGCGCCGUUUAUAAGCAGAUUCUACUAGAUUGGUAGGGAAGGACUUGUUACCACUGCGUUAGUGAGUUCUUGAAAGGGCUACUAAACUUCCUCAAGCCUCUAAACCUGACUGUGACAAAC